AUCAAAGGGAGGGCAAGAAUUAGUACACUUCUAAAUGGUAUUAAUUCAUCCUCCAACUUUUCAGAAGGGAUCAACUUACACCCCUAUAAUUUUUCUUUUUUUGAUAGGUAGCACCCCUAUAAUGAAAUACAAUUACUUAUUUUCCACCUCAUACUAAAAUGGAUAAAUAAUAAAUGAACAUUUAUGACAGAGGCAGCACCAGUUGGGACAUGUCAUGCAGAAACCUAAAGAGACUUCCUUCAUAAGAGUGAAUUGAUCUAGGUAGAACGCUUUAGGAAAGGUAAGGAUAGCUUAUUUUAGUUGCUAAGCAUCAUGUUGCUUUAGUUCGUUCAAUAGAACUAGCGACCAACUGAAAGAAGUGGCAAAGAAAAUGUUAUGUAGCCAACUCCAAAUUUAUUGAGAACAAAGCAUAGUUUGCUGUUGUUCACUUGUAUCCUCCCACGCACCAGACACGGAAAGAUGCUGGCAUGAAAAGCAAAAACGUACCUAGAAGUGAGGGAAAAAAAAUUGUGUAGUGUUUACAAGGAUCAGCAGAAAUGUCUUUGAAUAAUCAAAGGAAAUUUCGCACUAAAAACAUGACAACAUACAAGUCACAAUAAAGAACACAUCUGUGGCAUUCAAACAAGUCCACUAAUUUUGCUUUCAGCUGCAUGAAGCAGUAUAAAACAACUACAGGAUUGAAAUGGUUGUUGGAGUACUUGUAAACAGCUCUCCUCUUAGAAGAAGAUUAUUGAGACACCCAUUGUGAAGCAUCCUACAGCCACCCAAGGACUCAAUCUCUCGCCUAUUCAAGGAAUUAUAUAACAGUGUCAGAAUUUCAAAGCAUACGUUAAACUUCGAAUUUCAAAGCAUACGUUAAACUUCAUACAAAAUUCAUAUGACAAGCAUCAGUUAACCUUCAAUGGUCACACAUAGAUGGAAACUAUAGCAAUAAAUAUCAUCAAUCUUUUUCUUGUUUUUCUAUUAACCAAGAAAAUUUUAAAACUAAAAUAACAAGUGUCCACUAUUAUUCCAAAAUUUAAAACCAAAAAAUGUAAGGAACACCUAACUGCCAUCAAAGUCUUUCAACCAGCAGCAAUUACCCUUAAGUUUUAAAUGAACCCCAAUAAAACAACUGAGGAAUGUUUUGCUCUUCUUAACUGAUCAUUUUCUCAAGAUAAAAUUUCAGAUGAAAAGUCUUGAACAAAAAAGCAGCCCAAGAAGUUCUAAGAGUACAUGAAUAUAUUCAUAAAUACACAACCAGUUUGCUUUUUCCUGGUGAGAAGUUGAAACAAAGAAUGAUGUCAGAAACAAGAGCAGGUAAGAGAAAAUUAACAAACAGAUCAAAUAGAUUAUCUGUUACUUUUUCCAGAAUAAAUUCAAAAGGGAUAUAUUUUUUCCAGAAUAAAUUCAAAAAGGAUACAUUAUGAACCAUGAAUUCC
rnacentral:lncRNA from 1 species